rnacentral:rRNA from 1 species
CCUACGGGAGGCAGCAGUGAGGAAUAUUGGUCAAUGGGCGCGAGCCUGAACCAGCCAAGUAGCGUGAAGGAUGACUGCCCUACGGGUUGUAAACUUCUUUUAUAAAGGAAUAAAGUGCGGCACGUGUGCCGUUUUGUAUGUACUUUAUGAAUAAGGAUCGGCUAACUCCGUGCCAGCAGCCGCGGUAAUACGGAGGGUCCGAGCGUUAUCCGGGUUUUUUGGGUUUAAAGGGGGGGGAGAUGGGUUGUUAAGUCAGUUGUGAAAGUUUGCGGGUCAACCGUAAAAUUGCAAUUGAAACUGGCGGUCUUGAGUAGAGUAGAGGUAGGCGGAAUUCGUGGUGUAACGGUGAAAUGCUUAGAUAUCACGAAGAACCCCGAUUGCGAAGGCAGCUUACUAAACUGCCACUGACAUUGAUGCUCGAAAGUGUGGGGAUCAAACAGGAUUAGAUACCCCUGUAGUC